rnacentral:rRNA from 1 species
ACCCCUGUGAGAAUGCCCUAGAUAUUCCUAUGACGGAAAAAAGGAGCAGGCAUUAGGCACAACUUAUUGUUAGCCCAUAACGCCUUGCUUAGCCACACCCCCAAGGGAACUCAGCAGUAAUAAACAUUAAGCAAUAAGUGAAAACUUGACUUAGUUAAAACCAAAAGGGCCGGUAAAACUCGUGCCAGCCACCGCGGUUAUACGAGAGGCCCAAGUUGAUAAAUGCCGGCGUAAAAUGUGGUUUAUACACUAAUUUACUAAAGCUAAACACCUUCAAAGCUGUUAUACGCUUAUGAAGACAGGAGACUCCCCCACGAAAGUAGCUUUAAAUAAUAUUAUACCACGAAAAUUAGGAAACAAACUGGGAUUAGAUACCCCACUAUGCCUAACCUUAAACACAAGUGAUAAUUUACACCCUUCGCUUGCCAGGGUACUACGAGCUUCAGCUUAAAACCCAAAGGACUUGGCGGUGCUUUAGACCCACCUAGAGGAGCCUGUUCUAGAACCGAUAACCCCCGUUAAACCUCACCUUCUCUUGUUUUUCCC